UUGCCUACGGGACGCAGCAGUGGGGAAUAUUGCACAAUGGGGGAAACCCUGAUGCAGCGACGCCGCGUGAGUGAAGAAGUAAUUCGUUAUGUAAAGCUCUAUCAGCAGGGAAGAAAAUGACGGUACCUGAGUAAGAAGCCCCGGCUAACUACGUGCCAGCAGCCGCGGUAAUACGUAGGGGGCAAGCGUUAUCCGGAUUUAUUGGGUUUAAAGGGUGCGUAGGCGGUUUGAUAAGU
rnacentral:rRNA from 1 species